GAUGAACGCUAGCUACAGGCUUAACACAUGCAAGUCGAGGGGAAACGGCAUUAAGUGCUUGCACUUUUUGGACGUCGACCGGCGCACGGGUGAGUAACGCGUAUCCAACCUUCCCAUGAGUAAGCGACAACCUGCCGAAAGGCAGACUAAUACCUUAUGGUCUUCACUUACGGCAUCAGAUGUGAAGGAAAGAUUUAUCGGUUAUGGAUGGGGAUGCGUCUGAUUAGCUUGUUGGCGGGGUAACGGCUCACCAAGGCAACGAUCAGUAGGGGUUCUGAGAGGAAGGUACCCCACAUUGGAACCGAGGCACAGACCACACUCGUACGGGACGCAGGAGUGAGGUAUGUUAGUCAAGGAGCGAGGGCCUAGACCAGCCGAGUAGGGUGCAGGAUGACGGCCCUCUGGAUUGUAAGCUGCUUUUGUAUGACGAUAGUGUAAAUAACGUGUGAUUGUUUGAAGGUACCAAACGAAUAAGGACCGGCUAAUUCCGUG
rnacentral:rRNA from 1 species